rnacentral:rRNA from 1 species
UCGCAAUGCCCGAAAGGGUGACGAAGCGACGCCGCGUGCGGGAAGAAGGCCUUCGGGUUGUAAACCGCUGUCGGGAGUUAAGAAAUGUAAGGAUGUUAAUAGCAUCUUUGCUUGACUAAGGCUCCGGAGGAAGCCACGGCUAACUCUGUGCCAGCAGCCGCGGUAAUACAGAGGCGGCAAGCGUUGUUCGGAAUUAUUGGGCGUAAAGAGCACGUAGGCGGCUAUGUAAGUCGGUUGUGAAAGCCUUCCGCUCAACGGGAGAACAGCAUCCGAUACUGCAUGGCUUGAGUGCGGGAGGGGAGAGUGGAACUUCUGGUGGAGCGGUGAAAUGCGUAGAUAUCAGAAGGAACGCCGGCGGCGAAAGCGGCUCUCUGGCCCAUAACUGACGCUGAGUGUGCGAAAGCUAGGGGAGCAAACGGGAUUAGAUACCCCGGUAGUCCUAGCCGUAAACGAUGGGCACUAAGUAGAGGGGUUUUAAUCUC